UUGACGGGACCCGCACAAGCGGUGGAUGAUGUGGUUUAAUUCGAUGCAACGCGAAAACCUUACCCACCUUUGACAUGGCAGGAAUCCUGAAGAGAUUUGGGAGUGCUCGAAAGAGAACCUGCACACAGGUGCUGCAUGGCUGUCGUCAGCUCGUGUCGUGAGAUGUUGGGUUAAGUCCCGCAACGAGCGCAACCCUUGUCAUUAGUUGCUACGAAAGGGCACUCUAAUGAGACUGCCGGUGACAAACCGGAGGAAGGUGGGGAUGACGUCAAGUCCUCAUGGCCCUUAUAGGUGGGGCUACACACGUCAUACAGUGGCCGGUACAGAGGGUAGCCAACCCGCGAGGGGGAGCCAAUCCCAUAAAGCCGGUCGUAGUCCGGAUCGCAGUCUGCAACUCGACUGCGUGAAGUCGGAAUCGCUAGUAAUCGCGGAUCAGCAUGUCGCGGUGAAUACGUUCCCGGGUCUU
rnacentral:rRNA from 1 species